CCUCUGUAAAAGACAACAAAAUAAGAACCAGCCAAGGAAAGCAAAUAAGUUUCUUGACUUCUUUUGAACGUGUGAGGACCAUUUGACUUGUCCACAUCCCAGGUAAUUUAUAAAGGAAGGAAAACAAUUACACUACAACAUGCAGUUGUUUGAAAUAGCUGUAGUGUUAAAAAAAAAAAAAAAGUAUCUUGUAUUUCAGGUUGUUUUCCAUUGACUAACAUGCACCUAUUACAGGAUAUUAUAUUUUGUUAUGCCAUGGAAUCUGUAGCACAUAUUUUUUAAGCCCAGUCAUAUUCUUCAUGUACAGAGAGAAGAGUUAUGUGUGGUAGACUGGAAUUCAAGAGACCUGGAUUCAGAUUUUGACUAUUUCUUUCCCAUGAAUGAGCACUGUGGGCAAGUCACUUAGUCUUUAGCUUCUCUGUACUUGUGGAUGAUGACUCAGUUGCAUUCUUUUGAUUCUAGUAAUCAUCUCUGACUUCUGUAAUAUUUUCUGUUUGUCUCCAUGUUUAUUCGAAUGAAAGAAGGCGGAACUACCUCUGCAAGUCCAAGAAAGCCGGUACUGACAAUGUUGUAGCUGAACCGGAUACCCCACAAUAGUCUCCAGCCUCAAGGAAGCAGCUCUACCUCUCUCUAUCUUAGACAAAAUGAAUUUUAAGAGAUCACCUUGAGUGUUUGUAAAUAGACAGACUUGGCCACUGUUUAUUUUUUUAAUGUUUAUUUACUUUUGAGAGAGACAGAGAGAGAGAGAGGGGGAGAGAGAGAGACAGAGACAGAGGCAUGAACAGAGGAGGGGCAGAGAGAGAGGGAGACACAGAAUCUGAAGCAGAAUCUGAAGCAGACACAGAAUGCUUCAGACUCUGUGUCUCCCUCUGAGCUGUCAGCACAGAGCCCGACGAGGGGCUUGCACUCACGGACUGCGAAAUCAUGACCUGAGCCAAAGUCGGAUGCUUAACCAACUGAGCCACCCAAUCGCCCUGCCAUUGGUUGGUUUAAAAUUACUCAUUUGGUUUACAUUAUGUGAAUAUUAAUUCCACAUAGUUUUAUGGUAAUUAGAGCUAUACCAGAGCCAGAACUUCCUUCUUGCAACCCAAUAAAGCGAUUUUUUUUAGAGUUACAUGCCGCGAUUUCCAAACAGUCAAGCACUCUAGACAGACCAGCACUACAGCUAUUCUGAAGACUCUCUUGGAAAUAUGUGGCAUAUUUUAUUCAUUUCUGUGCACUUUUAAUAGAUAUGGAAAGUGUCUUAGUCAGCUUGGGCUGCCAUAACAAAAUACCACAGACUACAUGACUUACACAACAGAAAUUUAUUUUCUCGUAGUUCUGGAGACUGGAAAGUCUAAGGUUAAGAUCCAAUGGAGUUCUGUUUCUGGUGAAGCCUUUCUUCCUAGUCUGUAGAUAGCUGUCUUCCUUCUGUAUCCUCACACGGCCUUUCGUCUGGGUGCACAAGGAGACAGAGACAGAGAGACAGAGAAAGACAUCUCUUCCUCUUCUUAUAAGGCUAUCAGUCUCAGCUGAUUAAGGUUCCACCCUAAUAAUGUCAUUUAAUGUCAUUACUUCCGUAAGAUCCUAUCUCCAAAUACAGUCACAUGGAGUUAGGGCUUCAACAUAUUCAUUUCAGGGGCAUAAUUUAGUCCAUAGCCAACCAUAAAUAUGGAGAUUUACUGGCAUUAUCUUGAUUUCUUAAUGCAUUUUUUCUAAAAAAAAAAAAGGAAUUAUUUAAAUGUAUAAUUGUGAUUUGAUUUUUUUAUUUCACUGGAGUCUUAAGGGUAAAAUACUUCUGUAUCGUUGCUCGACUUUACUAGAGUUUUAUAUUUACAAAGUAUAUUUAGAUAUGUUAUAAAUCUGAAAAUGACCUUAAUUAGGUCAACCGCUGUUGGGUUCAGAAGAUUACCAUAGCUUUAUAAAGUGCUUUUAGAAAAACUACGUGGGGAGCAAGAACCGUGAACAUCAUCUUGUAAAGCCAGAGAAAUGGAGCUAGGUGCCUCCUGAAGACUGUAAAGCUUGUGAACUUGGGGUCCAUGGAAAAUCACAGACACAUAAGUGGCUGAGGCACUUCAGCAAACUUGAUCAGCUCUCAGAGUCGCAAUGAACUUUGCUUUCCUCAUUAAUUCAUCCACACUCGUUCUUUCUCCUACCCAGGUUCUUCCAAAGUCCAGAAUUAAAUGUAAAACUACUGGGGAAUGCAUACAAGGUGUAACCCGAGCCUACAGCUGAAAAACUUCUUGUGCUGUGAAGCACUGGCACAACUUUGACCUUACAAAUUGAUCCAAUAAAUCUGAAUUUCUAAGUGAAUAGACAUUCUUAAGAAUUCAAUAGGUCACAAGAUACCCUUUUUUAGACGAAUAAAUAAAUAAAUAAAUAAAACACAGCAGUGAAGAGAAAGACAUCAACUCUAGACUAAAGUAAAUUAUUAAAUACUUGAAAUUGUUGGCAUGUUUAACAAUUAUCAGAUGGAUCAGAACAUUGAUAAAGAAUUAUAUGGGUUAUUUUAUAAAAUACAUCUCUAGGAGUUAUCUAAUCAACAAUUGUUGUUUAUUGAGUACCUGCUCGGAACGCAGUAUCAAAUAGUAAAAUGGCAUAAUUGCUCUGCUUUCUAAAUUGAAACAACCUUUCAAAGUCACCUACAGGUACUUUAAACUAAUAUGAAAUAUACAUGCACUGUCUCAUAAACAAAGGAUGUCAUAAUAAGGGCAAAAUAGUUAAAAUUUUAAAAUCAAAAUCGUAUGUAGUAAAUAUUUUAUUACAUUCAAAACUAUUAAGUCCCAUUGUAGUGAAAGCUGUCAAUUCACUGCUCAGAACAGGUCAGACAUGAGGGUGAAGAGACACCAAAAGGAAAGGGAAGAGCUCUGAAUAAAAGCUUGUCCUUGCUAAAGAGCCACUCAAGUCUCUCUUUGGGGUGCUGAAAUCCACCUGACCUCAGCAUAUGGUUUCACUUAACUUCCACUUGUCUUUUGCCCCAGCCUGAGUGCCUCAGUGAGACAGUGGAGAGAAGUAACUCUUGGAAUUAGCUGUAGGUUGUAAAAUACUUUUGCUAAUAACAGUGUAGGUGAGCACCUGGUUCAGAGGGGGUUAAAUCAAGGGCAUGGAGCAUUCUUGCUUUGGGUGGCAGAAAUCUCAAAGGUGUUGCUGAGCUCGGAUGUAAUGUAAACUGCUGAAAAGCAAUAAUUAAACUUACACCUUUAGCUUUGUUAGAUGAAUUAUCUAAAAGCUCCACCCCUCUCUCUGAAAAAAACAGAUUAAGUAGCGUAAGUCUGCUGUUGGCAACUGCAGUGAUUAUACAGGACAUGCUGUCUGGGAUUAUUUGGAUUAAGGACAAAUUGUAUGCAUGGGGUGUUCAACCACUGAGGAAAUAUUAUGAUUCUUCUAGGACAUGUUCAUUAUUACAUGAUAUAAACAUAUAUCAGAUAAAGCCAAAAUUCCACCAGAAAGGAAUCGAUUCGCAAUUCUUGGGUCUGUGCGACCAAAAAAAAAGUGGCAAAAAAAUUAAAUGUGCUAUCUUUUAGAUCUUAAAAUAAUACAAUUCUCUAUUAUAAAAUUUCCCCUAAUACCAUUUAUAAGGAAAAUAUUGUCAUAUAGGCAAAGUGGAGGAAAAGUCAAGAUUUAUAUAGAUACUAUAUUGAACUAUAUUGCAAAAAAGUCAAUAUUUUCAUAAUAGAAAGGCAACAAAACUCAGUAUAGCAACAGCUUCAGAAACCAAAGAAAGAGAGACCUCAUUUAAUCGAAAGAGAGAGAAGACUGAUGGCUAAAAACAGGCAGGUGUUAAAUUCUGCACCUUCUGUUGAGGUUAUGGAGAUUGCAAAGAACAAUCUGCGACCUGUGCUUUUCCAUUAAAUUGUGGCUACUAAGUGUGUAUGUAUGUUUGCGAACAUUUGACUCAUUAGGUCUCUGAUUCAGCUCCUGCCUCCCUUCUCUCUACGGAUUUGUUUUUUUUUUUUUUUUAAUUUUUUUAACGUUUAUUUAUUUUUGAGACAGAGAGAGCAUGAAUGGGGGAGGGUCAGAGAGAGGGAGACAGAAUCCGAAACAGGCGCCAGGCUCCGAGCUGUCAGCACAGAGCCCGACGCGGGGCUCGAACUCACGGACCGCGAGAUCGUGACCUAAGCCGAAGUCGGCCGCUCAACCGACUGAGCCACCCAGGCGCCCCCGGAUUUAUUUUUUAAUGUAGAAUAUCAAAUUCUCUCUGGCAGACACCAUACAAAUAUUCUGCUGUGGUACGCACGUAUACUGAGUGCGCACUCCAUACACUAAACCUAGCUCUCGACGAGUGCCUUCUCUCUGGAAGUAAGGGUGCCCUCUACUAAUUGAUCUUUACUAGAUGUCUAAAGAGUAAUCUUCCUGGGAGAAUUGAUUCUUCUCACCUAGGAGAGAUGAUUUUUCUGGGGAAGAGUUUGCUCUUUCUGUGCUGCUCUACUGACUUGCACUAACAGAAUUAUUUGAAGAAACCCAAGGCAUCACCAGUCUUCAGUCACCUCAAAUUCUGCAGAUAAUACCACACAAUCACCUAGAGGCAUCUCAACUAAGUAAGCAUGACUGUCCCAAUUAGGCAAGAGUCCUCACUAUUAAAUAUUAUUAGACUUAAUUUGGUGCCCCGGGAAAAUUCUUGAUGAAGCCCGUCCCACUAAGGACAGGGCAUUGUGAAUCCACAACAACAUGCUCAGAAAACACUUCUAUGGUAAUGUUCCUUAAGUCCCAAACAAUAUCAUGUGGUGACGUGCUCAGUAGGUUUAUAGAAAUAUCAACCAUUACAGCUGGAAAUGCCAUCCCGUAUGACCCUGUCACUUUACAGAUGAGGAAAUAAAAGUCCACGGUGGUGUGGUGGUUACAGUUAGGAAAAAUAAGACUAGAUUUUAGGCCUCCUGACUCUUCCAGCCCAGGGCUUUUUACACGAUACCAUCAUACAUCCUAAAAUAUGCCAGUGACUGAAAGCACAUCUCUAAAGCUGUGAUCUCUCAAUGUAGGUGUGUUGGUGGUGAUGAAAUUAGAAUACUUAACUUGGCAUUUCUAACCAGUGUUUCACCUUGAGGAAAUCAAUGUGACUGCAUCUCAUUUUUAAUUGUAAAUUAGAGAUAAUUUUGCCUGUCUCAUGAAGUUGUGGUGAAAAUUUAAUAAAUAUUGCAUGACAAGGCAAAUAUAAUGUGAACAUGGAAUGAAAAUGUGCCUCUGGAAGCUUAUCUGUGACUUCUGGUUCCAGAUGGUGGGUUGAGUCCAUGUUUUGUUUUAUGCAACGGACAAGCAUAACAGCUCACCAUUGUUUUAAUUUUACUUUCUCUGAUUGUUAGUGGAAGGCAUCUUCUCUUCAUACGCUUAUUAACCCUUUGUAUUUUUUAUUUGUAUCUUUCAAUUAUUACUAUUUUCCUAUUUAGCUGUUUGUGGUUUUCUUGUUAUUUUGUCGUUCUUUAUCUCUUAGAAGUACUCCUUUUAUUAUACAUGAUGCAAGUAUUUUCUCCCAGGCUGUUGUUUGUCUUCUAUAUUUUUAAAUCAGAAGUGCCACAGCUGUCUGUGGGUUAUCAGAGAAGUCAUAGAGGGGAAAGAGCUGGUUUGUUAUUUCUGUGAGUUCUUAAUUUUUUAUACACAUCAGCUUGCCUUGAUUGUUGAGUUCUUACUAUAUACAGUACUAUAUGAAUCAAAUCUAAUAUGCAACUUCUUAGUGUAUGUCAUGUUGAAAUUAAAAAAAAAUUAAUAAAACUCUUUUCAGGGGCGCCUGGGUGGCUCAGUCAGUUAAGCAUCUGACUCUUGAUUUUGGCUCAGGUCAUGAUCUCACAGUUUGUGAGUUCAGACCCCAUGUUGGGUUCUGCACUGACAGUACAGAGCCUGCUUGGGAGUCUCUGUCCCUCUCUCUCUCUGCCCCUCCCCUGCUCAUGUUCUCUCUCUCAAAAUAAAUAAAUAAACUUAAAAAAAAAUCUCUUUUCAGAGAUCCUGUUUCCCAAGCAAACAUUUUCAGGAGUCUUUGAGGACAAUCUUCAGCAAAAUGAGAGAACAGACCAAGAAAAAGAAAAGCAUGAACUCAAGUGUAUCCAAACCAGGAGCACAGCUGAAGGAAGUCCCAGAAGGGCAGCUACCCAGCAGGCUCACAGAGCGACUGGCACAGAUGGGAGCAAGAAGGGCCCUCUUUUUCCAUAUCAUGUGAUUUUUAAAAGCAUAUGCUUGUAUUAUCUGAAAUACUUCAGAUAAAAAAAAAAAACCAGCAUACUUCAUGUUACAAACUUUCUUCUAAGCAUACACAAUCCUCCCUCUGCGUUUCUAUUUUUAAAACAUGGUGUGUUUAAGAAUUACUUAGUGGUAACAUCAGUCAAUACAAAAGCAUAUGAAAGUCUCCGGCUGCCUCCUACACGCCCAGGAGUCAAUCACUACUAGAGUUAUGCAUCUUCUCCAACUCUGGUAUGCAUAGUCUUUAUUAAAAUGUUUUACCAAAAACAAAAAAAAAAUCAUACUAUAUGUGUUCUUUCACAACUUGCUUUUUCACAGGGCGCUGUGUCACAGGUGUACCCCCUUGUCAAUGAGCACAUACUCAGCUUAUUCUUUUUUAUGACUGUACAGGUUUCUGCAGACGGACAGACCACAAUUUAUUUAACCUGCACCUUAUUAAUAGAUAU
rnacentral:lncRNA from 1 species